GAAAGAGAGAGUGGGCGAGAGCACGAGAGAGAAAGAGAGGGAGAGAGAACGGGAGAGAGAGGCGAGAGAGGGAGGGAGAAAGAGAGGAGAUGAUUUUAUGGAAAUAAACCUGAUUUGGGAAUUCAGGUUUGAAUUUUAGAAUGUGUGUGUGUGUGUGUGUGUGUGUGUGUGUGUGUGUGUGUGUGUGUGUCAGUGCAUUGCAUCAGCCAUACAUUAAGCCUCAGAGAUGGAAAAGCCCAGUUAAAACCUUUGCAGACACAAAUAAAGCGAUCUGUAGAAUCUGUGCCUUUGCUCUUCAACACACACACGCACACACACACACACACGCACGCACACGCACGCACGCACGCGCACGCACGCGUACACACACACAAACACACACUAAUAAAGACUACAUAUGUAUAUAGCACACACAGCACCUAGUCUUUCUUUCAGAUGGUCUGCUUCUUACUUCCUUUCAUUUCUGAAACUUUUUUUCUAAGCCACUUUUUCCCUAUUCACUAGGCCCCACUAGAGUAAAACGUACACACACACACACACACACACACACACACAUACACACACACACAUUACAGUUUCAUUACAGUUUAGUCCCCAUGUAAUUUUACACUCUCUGACCUCCCUGUAAAACACACUCAACAUGCCAAAGCGUAAACGCACCAGUAAGUAGCUACUUUCUCUCAUUUUUCUCUUUUCCCUUUCCCCCCAUCCCCUCUUUUUGUGUCUGCAACAUUGAGACCAUCUGGGAUGGGCCGCCUCGGUUGUCAUGGAGACGCACCGUGCCGGGUCGUCCGAUUGGCCGGUGUGUGCGGUGUGGCGUUGGACGAGGUGUGUCUCGUGUCCUCUGGGACGGGGGGGUUGGGGGGUGGGGGGGAGCUCACUCGAGCUUCAUGCAAUGCAAAUGCGGCACCUUUGAACUGAGGACGCCAAACCAACAUGGCCGCUCGAGAACAGGCAACACGGCUGUGCUCAGAAUGACAACGGCAGCUGGAGAAGGACAAAAAGAUUGCUAAUCAGCUCUCCAACGCACUUUUUCACAGCAUUUCAUGAGAAGAUGAAACUUCAACGAGAAGCAGAAGUUGGCGUUGUUUUCGUAUUCCGAGCAGCCAUGAGGAUGGGGGUUGCUUUAAAAAAAAAAAUCUUUUCUGUUCUUUAGCUGCUCAUGUUGCCAUAGGCAUGUUUGCCUCAGACUGAAUAAAUCCAAUAUGUGGAAAAAGUUAUGUUGCAUGGAGCUCCACCUUUGACACAUUAUCGAGAUGUUUGUGUUUUCAAACACCGGAGGCUUUUUUCCCCCUCUUUGUGUGCAUUUUUAGUUUUCUGCGUUUGUUGUUGUUAUUUAUUUUUGAAAUUUGUUCAUUAUUGUGUUUUUUUCUUUCUUAAACAGACCCGUAAGGGCGAUCCGGUUAUGCAGUAUUUUAUAACUAGUUACAGUUUUAAUAGCUUGUAACGUAACAGUGAGUAAAAUAAACGUUCAAAUGACAUCUACAGAUUACGCACUAAAUCUUUCAAAGCUCUCGCAAGCAUGAAGCUUACUUAAAGAAGCGCCCCGACGCAUCUCAACUCCAUCCCGAUCUACCACGUAGUGUAUGUAUACGUGCUUUCAGCAAACACGAAUUCUGAUGUUUCCCUGUUUACUGAAAAAAGAACAAAACUGAUUAUAAUUUUAAAAAAUUAUAAUGGAUGUUACGGGGCAGUUGUUGAAUUCUGUCGAUAAAUGUUUCAGCAUUUUUGAGGAAAGCUUACGUGAAUUUUCCAGUCAAACAUACACUUCUGUAUUAAACUCUUAUUCAGUACUGCAUUCAACUCUUAUUAUUGAGUACUGACAUCGCGCACACAUCACGGUAUUCACUGCACUUAAGUUGAUUUUCAUAAGUUGCGUAUAUUUCGAAUUCAAGUCCAGUUCUCUAUGGUGAAAACCAUCAAGUUAAACCAAAUUUCCAGAGCUUAAUGUGAUAAUUACUAGAACUGUUUUUUUUUUUUUUUUGUAAUCGUUUCCGUCUCUUGAAUUACAUUUGACAGCUUAAACAAAAAAAAAAAAAAAAAAAAAAAAAAAGUCUAGAUAAUAUUGAAAACAGUUUAACUCAAGGUAAAUCUGGCAACCUCAGAGAUGUGAACUAUUUUCAAAAUCUCAAUGGGGAGCACAGAAAGUUGACCUAGCUGAAGUCUGAAUACAUACAAACUCCCCCUUAGACUUAAGUCACAGUUUCUGAACAUGGCUCUAACAGUGUAAAAUUCAUUUUCCAUCAUUUUAAAGAUGGAACUCAUUUUUCAGAGAAAAACGUCUUCGUUUUUGGCCACGUGGAGACCACAAAACCUUUGGGAAGGCCGAAGUAACCAGAACUACUUUCAACUGUGUUUCUCCACUGUUGGAAAUUUGGAUGAACCUACAUUCUCUCAUGCUUGUCUCAUCCUUAGACCUGUAUUGCAGUCGCAUAACAUUUAUUGAUGAAAUUCAGCGGCUGCCCUCAAGCUUCUAUUAUAGGCAAACUUCAAGUACCUGGUUUUUUGGUUGUUGUUGUUGUUGUUGUUUUAAAUAUACAGGUAAAAUGUGUCAAAAUUCUUAGCUAUGAGCUACAGAGUGUGGAUUGAAAAGAGCCCGAGUAUUCCUUUAAUGCUAACGCACGUGUUUGCUUCUGUUUAAACCGAUACACUACACUAACCCCAGACGUCCAUGCGGUUAUACCGAGCCGUGUAUGUACGAAUGCAGCCUCCCUUUAAUCUGGAGGGAUUACUGCGUGACAAGCGGACCCUGCCCAGAUUAGCCUGAUCGGCAUGUGCCUGAACAGCGAUCAAUUCUGAACAACAGCGCUUUCGAUUAAUGAUGUACGCUAGCACGAGGAACUGUUGAGCCAAACGCCUCUGAUUAUUGCACACGGAGGAAAAAGUCACUCAACACGAGCCAAGACCGUCUGAUUUCCAAACAAGGCAGUGCGCGUCGCUCACCAGUCAGUGAUUUCGCACUUAACGCUACUAAUCCAACCUGAUCACUUAAGUCAAUGCAGGUUUCUGAAGAUGAGAAUUCAUCUUUAGGCAACUGUUGUUCAAAAGGUUGAUGAUGUAAUCACUAACACAGGGGUCAACAUCAAAAACUAUGGAAGGUGAGACAAAUAUAUGACUAGAAGUGACAAAUGAUGGCCCUUUUGGCUUUAUAUAAAAGGGGGGGGGGUGUGAGAGGAGGAGGAGAAGCAGGAAGGGUGCUCUUUGACGUUAGGUGCUGACACUCCAAUACUGAGUGAGUGCUGAGAGCUUUUCAGCUACAGUGGAAACGCUAUUGAUCGCAGCGCUGUCCUGUGCUGAGACGCUCUCAAAAAAACGCUUUGUCUUCCUUUAUUUAGCCAGACCCCUCUAUGUGUGUGCGUAUGUGUGUGUGUGUGUGUGUGUGUGUGUAGGAGUGAAAAAAGGAAGAAAAUGGUUGUAUUUAUAAGAGUAAGUUAUGUGUGGGUGGUGUAGCUGGUGUGUGUGAGUAUUAUAUGUGUGCGUUAGCAGGAAUGAAUAUACAGACAGAAAAGUAGACAGCAGAAAAGAAAGAGUGUUUGUGUGGGAGUGAGAGGAGGGGUCUACGACUAAGUGGCGUCUUGAGGCAUUACGUUAUCAUAUUACCAAAUGAACUUUAAUCACCCAUAUCAUAUACAUAUUAACGGCGAACAACGAGGAAUCCUCAAAGCUGGAAUUAACUGAAUAAAUUAAAACAUAAUGAAAAAUCUCCAUCUCGAGUCACUUACACAGCAAACCGUGCCAAAUCGCUAGCACGACAAGGACGGCGGAGAUCAUUUCACCCAUCUACAGUACACUCGCUAGCUUCUUUGUUCAGCUUUCAUUCUCACUCUUGGCGCAAAAGAUGUUUACAACAUGGUUUGCUACCAAGGAUAUACAGUAUACUAGGGUUACAAUAGCAGGCACGUGCAGAGGGUUCAUCAGGGUCAGGGGCUCAAAUGUAAAAAGGGCUAUAUCACCAAAGAGCUUACUACUUGAACUACUUUACUAACUUUAAUUUAACUACAUGAUCUCAUCACCCUGCUAGACACCGUACACAGACUGUGUGGGAUCAGAAAAAUAAAAAUGAGACUGACUCUACUAAUAUAACCUAAUGGUAUUUUAUUUUUUACAUUUAUAGAAUUAAUUACAACAAAACGGCAAUUUUUAGUGGAGAGAUGAAUCCAAAGAAUCGUGAAAAGAAAAUUUAAACAUUAGGGAAAGAAAAAAAACAAAAACUACAGUAUUUCCAUCCACAAGUGCGGUGACACACCCACUGUAUGUUACUUUCUGAAAAGUGAGUAAAACUAUUCAUCUCACAAUGAAAUUUACAUUCGGCAGCAGCACUGUGAUUUCCAUCCAAUCGCAGCACUGUUUGCAGAACUGGCUUUUUAGCCUCAACGCUCGUCAUUUUUGCCUUUUAGAUUCCAUUUUAAAAAGAUGAAUUGAGAUUUUUAUGAUCUUAUAUCGCACUUUUUUUCCCACAUCAUUUAGGCUACAGGACUAAAUUUACCAUAUUAAUUAAGAAGUGACUUUUGUAUAUAGUAUAACUACAGUUGCAAUCAAAAUUAUUCAGGUUUAUUGUCAAAAAUGUAGAGACUUUCAGCUGUUUGCGAUGAACAAAUCAAACAAAAGCAAGUGAAAUAGUUCAACACGACGAAGGCUUCAAGUGGUUUCCCCAAAUUCAACUGAAAAUGCAACUCAUAAUGAUUUCUCCAGUCUCAAAAUUAUUCAACCCCCGAAUAGAUUCCCACACAACAGCACAAACCGGUGUCGUCUCAAGCACACCUGGUGCAACUAAUCAAGGGCUUCAUUAGUUGCACCAGGUGUGCUUGAGGUUUACUCUACUGGUUUUUAUGAUUUCAAGAGUUGGUGCGAUGGUGGAGUUUUCCAAUAUGGCAGAACAGUCUUUCUGACAGAAUAGUCAGUCUUUUUCUUAGUAAUUUACCAACACAUCGGAGGAUAAUGUUGAUAUUACCAACAAUUCUGCCUUGUUUGCACUUCCACUACACUUUAAAAGACAUAAUCUAGCUAAACUGUUGAUCUCCUACAAUAUUAACUACGACUACAGCAAGUUUAUGGUGGGCUUACCUUUUUAAAUUGAAACAAAUAUCAAAUUGUUGAGAAUUUGACUAUAGCCACUUUAAAACACCACCAUACAACCGUGGCCGUAUGUAAGGAAUACAACACAACAGGGCGUGCUGUUAAAGACAAAUAAUUCACGACAAGGCGGUGGGAUACGAUAUUUACCACCCCGAAGUCGAUCCGUUUAGAAGUGUGUUUCCUCUUAUUAUGCAAACAAUUUGCCAACGAUUGCAAUUUUUUUUCCCCAUAUAUUAUAGAAAGACACACUAUCUGUGUCUAGUUAUGUCUUAUCAGCUAUAAACAGUUAUUCCCUCACUUUCUCUUGAAGACAGGAAGAACAGAGCUUGUUGUCGAGAAAGUUCAACGUCCUCCACCCUUACACGUCCUUUCCUGCUUUGGAAGACUUAAAGCAUUACCUCUGAUUGUUACAAAGUGCUGACACCUUCCAAAUGAACGUCUUGUCACAGAAAUCUUUUCAUACCAACGAAACAUUGGGGGGGGGGGGGGGGUUUCCCCAUUAACUAACACAUUUUGUAAUGUUUGUGGAGCCUCUGCUGUACAAGUCCCUGUGACUUAGCUGUUACUAUAACACACGAUAAAGCGAUAACACACUAGAAGAGUACAUUGAUAUGAACUUAUGAUUUAUAUUACAGCCAGUUUGACUGUCAGAGCUGCUGUUGUACUGACCAAUCGAGAAGUCAAGAGCACUGUGGGAUAAUUUGGUUGAACAUACUGUAUGUAUAUUUACCAGAAAUGACUAUAAUGUGCCACAGUGGUAUCAGGGUUUGAUAAUCAUAGUUACCAUGACGUUCCCUAUAGGGCUGGUGGUAAGAAUUAAAGGGGUGACAGAAGGAAGGGGACGGAAAUCGUGGUGGGAAAUGGUGUAUGAUAUUAAUUUUGCGAUAAAUAAUGACACAGUACUAUUUUUUUCAGCAAUUGUUAGCACGGUCACCUCACACCUCCAGGGUCGGGGGUUCGAUUCCCACCGUGGUCCUGUGUGUGCGGAGUUUGCAUGUUCUCCCCAUGCUGCGGGGGUUUCCUCCCCCAGUCCAAAGACAUGCAUGGUAGGCUGAUUGGCGUGUCCAAAGUGUCCGUAGUGUAUGAAUGGGUGUGUGAGUGUGUAUGUGAUUGUGCCCUGCAAUGGAUUGGUACCCUGUCCAGGAUGUACCCCGCCUUGUUCCCGAUGCUCCCUGGGAUAGGCUCCAGGUUUCCCCGUGACCCUGAAGGAAGGAUAAGCGGGAUAGAAGAUGGAUGGAUGGAUGGACAUUCUGUGUAUCGUAAAAAAAAUGUCUUCAAGUGUUGUGUUGUGAUGCAGUAUGUUUUGCCACAUCACCAACCCUUUGAAAAAAUCUACCAAACACAUUCACCCAAUUGAUUCUCAUUCAUUCUCAAGAGCUCCUGUCUGUGAUGUUUUACUAUGCUACUAGUUCAGAGAACAAGAACACACACCACCUACAUACACACAUAACUCAGCCUCUGGGAAAUACACACAGACGUUCCCCCAUUAAAGCCCGUCUGUGCACUGUAUACAAUACUCAGUGUUCAUGCAUCACUCUCCGCCUCUGUACCUCUGAAACCCACUUACAGAUUUAUACCAAACAAAACACACCCACAUACACACGAUUUAAAAAAUGGCACACGUUUUGGGAGGCAGCAGGAUUUCAGAAGGUAUCUUGUGAGUUUGUUUGUAAUUGUAUGUGUACCCGUUGUUGUUUUUUAUUUUUUAACAAUGGACAUUUAAUGAUAAAUGUCAGCACGGUCUAGACUGGUACAUUGAAGAGAGAACGAGUGUUACCAUUUUUUUUUUUUUUUUCAAACAGUCAGCUAUGAUAUAAUCAGUUGUGGGAGUUUAGAUGUGAGCGUACAGUGUGAAAAGAAUAAGAACUGUAAUACUUUAUAUUGCAGUGCCCCUAUUACAGCGUAAGAACCAGUGGAAUUACAAUAUACCUACACAUGAAUAAAAGUUUCUUAUGAUUAUUAAAUAUGUAAACACUGAUCAUUAGAACAUACUGUAUAGGAAGGUGUUCAAUUGCACUCCUGGGGCGGCUGUGGCUCAGGUGGUAGAGCGGGUUGUCCACUAAUCAUAGGGUUCGAUUCCCGGCCCACGUGACUCCACAUGCCGAAGUGUCCUUGGGCAAGACAUUGAACCCCAAGUUGCUCCCGAUUGCAAACUAGCACCUUGCAUAGCAGCCAUUGGUGUGUGAGUGUGUGUGUGUGUGUGUGUGUGUGAAUGGGUGAAUGAGACACAGUGUAAAGCGCUUUGUAGAAAUGCUAAGGUUAAAAGAAAAGCGCUGUAUAAAUACAGACCAUUUACCUGAAUUCCACAACCUGUUCCCUUGUGAUUCAGUAGGACUAAACAUUCACACAGGUCAAUGCAAAAGAAAUCUUGUAAUAUGUCUUCAUUUUAAGUUAGAACUAGAGGCAGGUUUCGUCGUUUUAUAUACACUCACCAUCCACUUUAUUAGGAACACCUGUACACCUGCACAUUAAUGCAGAGGUCUGGCAGCAGCACAAGAGCUUCAGUUCACUUCAGACAUCAGGAUGAAGAAAAAGUGUGAUCUCUGUGAUUUUGGUCGUGUCAUGGAGGCUGGUACCAGAUGGGCAGGGUUGAGUAAUUCAUAAACAGAAAAAAGAAGAAUCUGAGAAUCACCAGGUGAUUUUUUUUCCCCCCAGUAAUCUUCAACUGUCCAGUUUGGGUGAGUCUGUGCCCAUGAUAGCCUCAGGUUUCUGUUCCUGACUGACAGGAGUGGAACCCGAUGUGGUCUUUUGCUGUUGUAGCUCAUCCACCUCAAGGUUCGAUGUUUUGUGCGUUCUGAGAUGCUUUUCUGCUCACCACAGUCGUAAAGAGUGAUUACUUGAGUGACUAUAUCCUUCCUGGAAGCAUGAACCACUCCACAAACAGAACUGUCACCCACUCAGUGGUUCUUGUUUUUCGCACCGAUCUGUGUAAACUCUAGAGAAGGUCGAGUGUGAAACUCCGCGUAGAUCAUCAGUUUAUGAAAUACUCAAACCAGCCUAUCUGGUACCAACAUCCAUGCCACGAUCAAAGUCCCAGAGAUCACACUUUUUCUUCUUUCUGAUGUUUGAUGUGAACUGAAGCUCCUGAUCUGUAUCUGCAUGAUUUUUUGCAUUGUGCUGCUGCCACAUGAUUGGCUGAUUAGAUAACUGCAUGAAUGUGCCUGCACCGGUGCUCCAUAACGGAGUGGACGGAGUGUAUCUACUUGCAUUAAACAUUGAACUUCUGUUCAGGUCAUGAACGUGUGCUCAAUUCUCAUCAUCUGUUACAUUACAUUUACAGUGCAUUAGUAUGAAUGGGGUCUACUGGUUUUCAUCCCACUUGCUGUUCAUUUUCUAUAGAGACAGGCAAAUACCCUGAGUGAGGUCUAUGGGAACGAUCUUUUGUUUGUUUGUUUGUUUGUUUAACGUGGUGUGGUUUUAUGUCUCUUUAUGAGAUAUGUUCAUGCUCAUGGUGAUGUCAAGCAGCACACAGAGACAGACUUUCUCCAAAACAGGCAUAAUAUAACUACACUGAUUUAAAUUUCUCAUUUACUCAGCAAUUAAAUAUACACUGAAGAGGAAACACAUAUCGGUUUGUGUGUGGACAUUCAGCCGGGUGUAAUUAAAUAAGAAGUAAACACAACGAGGCAUGCAGGAAAAUAAUCAACAAUGUGGUGCUGAGAUUUCUCAAUGGAAAAAAAAAAAACCUCACAGAAUGGUUUGAAGUUAUUCACCGGCUCCGGAAAUGUCUUUCGCGUAUGUAAGCGAGCAUCCGGAGUUCUAAGUUUUCACUGAAUAUGGUGACAAUUGUACCAAUUUCAGAAAAAUUUAAUUGACUCUUAUUAUUUGUGUUUAUUCUGAAAUUCCAAGAAAGAAAUUUGAAGAUGAAUUUAAACAGCUCUUUUCGAUUGCAAAAUAAAUAAAUAAAUAAAUAAUCUAAAAUUCUCUUGUGUAUCAAGCCAUAUCAGGAAAAUGCCACCUGCCAGUAUUCUGAGAUGUAUGAGACUAAUAAGUCACACAUCAACAAACCCAUACACACACAGGCAACAGACUGUGUAUAUAUCUGUCGCCUGUGCGUGUGUGUGUGUGUGCGUGUGUGUAUGUGUACUGAUGUAUGUCUUAUCUAUUUUUUUAUAGCAAUUAAGUUAAUUGGCAGGUUAUGGUCAGUUAACAGUAAAGAACAUCCUGUAGCAGAAUGAUAUUU
ensembl:lncRNA